AUUGAACGCUGGCGGCAGGCCUAACACAUGCAAGUCGAGCGGCAGCGGGAAAGUAGCUUGCUACUUUUGCCGGCGAGCGGCGGACGGGUGAGUAAUGCCUGGGAAAUUGCCCAGUCGGGGGGGAUAACAGUUGGAAACGACUGCUAAUACCGCAUACGCCCUACGGGGGAAAGCAGGGGACCUUCGGGCCUUGCGCGAUUGGAUAUGCCCAGGUGGGAUUAGCUAGUUGGUGAGGUAAUGGCUCACCAAGGCGACGAUCCCUAGCUGGUCUGAGAGGAUGAUCAGCCACACUGGAACUGAGACACGGUCCAGACUCCUACGGGAGGCAGCAGUGGGGAAUAUUGCACAAUGGGGGAACCCCUGAUGCAGCCAUGCCGCGUGUGUGAAGAAGGCCUUCGGGUUGUAAAGCACUUUCAGCGAGGAGGAAAGGUUGAUGCCUAAUACGUAUCAACUGUGACGUUACUCGCAGAAGAAGCACCGGCUAACUCCGUGCCAGCCGCCGCCGUAAAAC
rnacentral:rRNA from 1 species